UACGUAGGAGGCAAGCGUUGUCCGGAGUUACUGGGCGUAAAGCGCACGCAGGCGGUCGCAUCAGUCUGGGGUGACAGUUCCCGGCCUAACCGGGAAAGUGCUCUGGAAACUGUGCGACUUGAGGGCUUCAGAGGGAUGUGGAAUUCCAGGUGGAGUGGAUGAAAUGCGUAGAGAUCUGGAAGAACACCAAAGGCGAAGGCAGCAUCCUGGGAAGUUCCUGACGCUCGGGUGCGAAAGGCCAGGG
rnacentral:rRNA from 1 species